rnacentral:rRNA from 1 species
UACCAGCACCCCGAGUGGUCGGGACGUUUUAUUGGGCCUAAAGCAUCCGUAGCCGGUUCUACAAGUCUUCCGUUAAAUCCAACUGCUUAACAGGUGGGCUGCGGAAGAUACUAUAGAGCUAGGAGGCGGGAGAGGCAAGCGGUACUCGAUGGGUAGGGGUAAAAUCCGUUGAUCCAUUGAAGAACCACCAGUGGCGAAGGCGGCUUGCCAGAACGCGCUCGACGGUGAGGGAUGAAAGCUGGGGGAGCAAACCGG